rnacentral:rRNA from 1 species
UACAGAGGUGGCAAGCGUUGUUCGGAAUUACUGGGCGUAAAGGGCGCGUAGGCGGUCUUGUAAGUCUUGUGUGAAAUCCCUCGGCUUAACUGAGGAACUGCACGGGAUACUGCGAGACUUGAGAUCGGGAGAGGGAAGCGGAAUUCCGGGUGUAGCGGUGGAAAUGCGUAGAUAUCCGGAGGAACACCGGUGGCGAAGGCGGCUUCCUGGACCGACACUGACGCUGAGGCGCGAAAGCUAGGGGAGCAAACGGG